AUGGCUGUCGUCAGCUCGUGUCGUGAGAUGUUGGGUUAAGUCCCGCAACGAGCGCAACCCUCGCCUUUAGUUGCCAUCAUUAAGUUGGGCACUCUAGAGGGACUGCCGGUGAUAAGCCGGAGGAAGGUGGGGAUGACGUCAAGUCCUCAUGGCCCUUAUGGGCUGGGCUACACACGUGCUACAAUGGCGCUGACAGAGGGCAGCUAGCUCGCGAGAGUAAGCUAAUCCCUAAAAGGCGCCUCAGUUCAGAUUGCACUCUGCAACUCGAGUGCAUGAAGUUGGAAUCGCUAGUAAUCGUGGAUCAGCAUGCCACGGUGAAUACGUUCCCGGGCCUUGUACACACCGCCCGUCACACCAUGGGAAUUGGCUUUACCCGAAGGUAGUGUGCUAACCGCAAGGAGGCAGCUAACCACGGUAAGGUCAGUAACUGGGGUGAAGUCGUAACAAGGUAGCCGUAGGGGAACCUGCGGCUGGAUCACCUCCUUUCUAAGGAAAUUUCUUAAUGAAAAUAAAUCUUCGUGAUUUAUGAUCUUUUGAAAUUCUUGGAACAUAAUGUCAGAUUUAUCUGACAAAACAUUGCUGGAUUGUCGCCAUCUUCGUUUCUCUUUCUAGGAUUAAGUUAUACCGUUAUUAAUCGGGAUAGCGGGCCUGUAGCUCAGCUUGGUUAGAGCGCACGCCUGAUAAGCGUGAGGUCGAUAGUUCAAGUCUAUCCAGGCCCACCAUAUCUUAAUCUUUUGAAUCAUAGAUUCUGAAAGAGUCUGUUCAUUAACAUUGUAAAGAGAAAUAUUUUGAUCAUAUCAAAUACAUGCUUAUUAUUUGUAUUAUGAGUGGUGCCUGCACGGGCACAGUUAGUUCUUUAACUUUCAAAAUAUAAGUAGAAUAGAUUAUAAAUUUUAUAAUCAAAAUGGUCUUUUUGUGAUGUUUGUUAAAUCCUUACAACCGAUUUAAUAAAUAUCUAAAAAGUGAAUAAUCGUUGUAAUAUGUAUUAAUUCAUUGCGUAUUAUGACAAAUCGUAUUUUCCAUUAGUGUUCCCUAAAUUGAGAACCAGGUGAACAUUGAUGAUGAGAUCGAUCAAGUAUCUUACAAGCAUAUAGAGGAUGCCUUGGCGCUAAAAGGCGAUGAAAGACGUGGUACGCUGCGAUAAGCUACGGGGAGCUGUGAACAAGCUUUGAUCCGUAGAUUUCUGAAUGGGGAAACCCGG
rnacentral:sRNA from 1 species